UACAGAGGUCCCAAGCGUUGUUCGGAAUCACUGGGCGUAAAGGGUGCGUAGGCGGCGCGGAAAGUCAGGGGUGAAAUCCCGGAGCUCAACUCCGGAACUGCCUUUGAUACUCCCGCGCUUGAGAACUGGAGGGGACAUCGGAAUUCACGGUGGAGCAGUGAAAUGCGUGGAUAUCGUGAGGAACACUAGUGGCGAAGGCGGAUGUCUGGACAGUAUCUGACGCUGAGGCACGAAGGCCAGGGGAGCGAACGGG
rnacentral:rRNA from 1 species